rnacentral:rRNA from 1 species
GUACGUGAAACCGUUCGGAGGUAAACGAGUGGGCCCUCGAAGUGUGAAGGCGGGGGGACUCAGCCGAACGCCGUCGAGCCCGCCGGCGGGUCCGCGCUUCCCUCCCGGGACGCGGUCCGCCGGUGUGCUGGCUCCGGCUUGCGGCGCAUUUCCUCCCGUCCUCCGACGCCGCGACCGGUCGGGCGCGCCACGAGCAGUCGGCCUUACUCGCGGGAAACGGAAGGUAGCCGGGUCGGCGCGCACGCGUCGCUCCCCGGUGUUCUAGCCGUCCCGCAAUCGAGUCAGCCGUUCGCCCGACCGCAGGAACCAAGGCCCUCAGGGGCCCCGCCGUGCCCUCCCCGCUCGGGGAUCGCUUCCCGCCUCGGAAGGGAUGCCGCUUGUCCCCGCGUCGCACCUCCGGUGCGCGUGGGGCGGCGGCGCCCGCUGGCCGGGGCGUUUGCGAUUCGGGUGCUGGCGGUCUGCGGCGAGUAGGUCGGUCACCCACUCGACCCGUCUUGAAACACGGACCAAGGAGUUUAACAUGCACGCGAGUCACUGGGUCGUGAGCAGGCCCAAGGGCGCAAUGAAAGUGAAGGGCGGCCCAUGCCGUCCGCGUUGGGAUCCCCCGGCCUCCGCGCCGGGGGCGCACCAACGGCUCGUCCGGGCCGCCACGUCGGCCGGGCGAAGCUAGAGCGUGCACGUUGAGACCCGAAAGAUGGUGAACUAUGGCUGGGCAGGACGAAGCC